rnacentral:rRNA from 1 species
GAUGAACGCUGGCGGCGUGCCUAAUACAUGCAAGUCGAGCGAACAGACGAGGAGCUUGCUCCUCUGACGUUAGCGGCGGACGGGUGUGUAACACGUGGAUCACCUCCUUAUCUGACUGGGAUCACUUCGGGAAUCCGGCGCUAAUACCGGAUAAUAUAUUGCACCGCAUGGUUCAAUAGUGAAAGACGGUUUUGCUGUCACUUCUAGAUGGAUCCGCGCCGCAUUAGCUAGUUGGUAAGGUCACGGCUUACCAAGGCAACGAUGCGUAGCCGACGUGAGAGGGUGAUCGGCGACACGGGAGCGGGAACACGGUCCAGACGCCUGCGGGAGGCACCAGUAGGGAAUCGUCGGCAAUGGUGGAGAGCCUUACGGAGCAACGCCGCGUGAGAGGUGAAGAUCUUCGGAGCGUAAAACUCUGUUAUUAGGGAAGAACAAAUGUGGAAGUAACUAUGCACGUCUUGACGGUACCUAAUCAGAAAGCCACGGCUAACUACGUG